rnacentral:rRNA from 1 species
AUUGAACGCUGGCGGCAUGCCUUACACAUGCAAGUCGAACGGUAACAGGUCUUCGGAUGCUGACGAGUGGCGAACGGGUGAGUAAUACAUCGGAACGUGCCCGAUCGUGGGGGAUAACGCAGCGAAAGCUGUGCUAAUACCGCAUACGAUCUACGGAUGAAAGCGGGGGAUCGCAAGACCUCGCGCGGACGGAGCGGCCGAUGGCAGAUUAGGUAGUUGGUGGGAUAAAAGCUUACCAAGCCGACGAUCUGUAGCUGGUCUGAGAGGACGACCAGCCACACUGGGACUGAGACACGGCCCAGACUCCUACGGGAGGCAGCAGUGGGAAUUUGGACAAUGGGCGCAAGCCUGAUCCAGCCAUGCCGCGUGCAGGAUGAAGGCCUUCGGGUUGUAAACUGCUUUGUACGGAACGAAAAAGCUCUCUCUAAUACAGGGGUGAAUGACGGUACCGUAAGAAUAAGCACCGGCUAACUACGUGCCAGCACGG